rnacentral:rRNA from 1 species
UACGUAGGAUGCGAGCGUUGUCCGGAAUUAUUGGGCGUAAAGAGAACGUAGGCGGUUUGCCAAGUUCGAUCUUAAAGACCGGGGCUUAACUCCGGGAGUGGAUCGAAAACUGGCAGACUAGAGGACGUCAGAGGAAAGUGGAAUUCCCAGUGUAGCGGUGAAAUGCGUAGAUAUUGGGAGGAACACCAGUGGCGAAAGCGACUUUCUGGGACGUUCCUGACGCUGAGGUUCGAAAGCUCGGGGAGCAAACAGG